GAUGAACGCUGGCGGCGUGCCUAAUACAUGCAAGUCGAGCGAACAGACGAGGAGCUUGCUCCUUUGACGUUAGCGGCGGACGGGUGAGUAACACGUGGGUAACCUACCUAUAAGACUGGGAUAACUUCGGGAAACCGGAGCUAAUACCGGAUCAGAUUUCGAACCUCAUGGUUCUAUAGUGAACGAUGGCUUUGCUAUCACUUAUAGAUGGACCUGCGCCGUAUGAGCUAGUUGGUAAGGUAACGGCUUACCAAGGCAACGAUACGUAGCUGACCUGAGAGGGUGAUCGGCCACACUGGAACUGAGACACGGUCCAGACUCCUACGGGAGGCAGCAGUAGGGAAUCUUGCGCAAUGGGCGAAAGCCUGACGGAGCAACGCCGCGUGAGUGAAGAAGGUCUUCGGAUCGUAAAACUCUGUUAUUAGGGAAGAACAACCGUGUAUGUAACUGUGCACGUCUUGACGGUACCUAAACAAAAAGCCACGGCUAACUACGUG
rnacentral:rRNA from 1 species